rnacentral:rRNA from 1 species
UACGUAGGUGGCGAGCGUUGUCCGGAUUUACUGGGCGUAAAGGGAGCGUAGGCGGACUUUUAAGUGAGAUGUGAAAUACUCGGGCACAACUUGAGUGCUGCAUUUCAAACUGGAAGUCUAGAGUGCAGGAGAGGAGAAUGGAAUUCCUAGUGUAGCGGUGAAAUGCGUAGAGAUCAGGAAGAACACCAGUGGCGAAGGCGAUUCUCUGGACUGUAACUGACGCUGAGGCUCGAAAGCGUGGGGAGCAAACAGG